rnacentral:lncRNA from 1 species
CCUUGGUGCCCGUCUUCGCCCAUUUGCGCAUUUUCCUUUAAACUAUCGUGCCCAGCGCCUGCGUGGCAGCCCUGUCUCUUCUGGGGACCCCUGGGCUGGAGUGGAUAGGGCUGCGCCCACUGGGCAAACUCCGCAGUCUCCGGGCCAUUGAGAGACAGACUCCCGAGCAGGCGCCCUGCGGGGUCUCCACGAGGUCCUGGGGGAGCCCUGGAAGCGGGUCCCUGGGCAGGGGACCCAAGACCCCAUCUCUAACUGGAGGACUGAGCCGCCUCCUCCCUCUGGAGACCUGCCCCCGGAUGCCCCGCCCCUUUUUCGUGACCCCCACCUGACCCGGAAGCCAGGCCCGACUGUCUCCAGAAGGACUUGGAGCAGAGGGAAGAGUUCCUCUUGUGUGCUUCUCUUCCCGCUGCGUCCCGCGACUCUGCCUACACGCCUCUGGCCGACCACCCCGUGCCGUGGAGACCCUCGACUUGCUGGCCUUGUGGUGAAGCAACAGGAGCAGGUGCUCAUAAGACACAUUGUGCACCCCAAACUCAGCAUCUGCUUCCAGAGAACGCAACCUGUGACAGCUGUGCCACAGUAAGAACUGGUAGUGCAGGAGUAAUAAACAUUUGGCUCUCCUCCCAUCCGUCCUUCUUCUGGCACAUUUUCAAUCCAAAAUUUAGGAACUUCCGUCACAGCUGCUUCUGUUUACUAAAGAGAUAGGCCUUAGAAAACGUGCAGCCUGCAGUGUGGUCAGUAGAGAGUUGAUCUUGUUCAAAGCCUACAGAAAAUUGAAGAACAUCACAGGGAAAAAGUAACUGAAGAGUUGGAAAGGGAUACUUAGUUCUGGAGGAGGAAGAGAAGAAAAAGCAUAUUUUGCUGAGCUAAAGGAGUAGGAUAUAGGUUUCAUCAGGGAAGAGAUUAUGUCGGUUUGGCUCAUUGCUGUACCUCUAGUGCCUAGGGCAGUGUCCGGCACGUGAUAAGCCCACGGGUAGAUGUCUUUUGCUGCUUGAAACUUGGCAUUUCUGAAACGCACUCAGUAUGUAAAUAUCUAUCUACUCUAGGAACAUGUACCAAUGUUUGACUGUUUCCUAGAAAUAUGCUCACUACUAAGCAAUCUGUUCAGGCUACUACUCUGCUGUGGAAGAUUCCCCUUCUCUGAAUGAGAGGCAGAAAGGCACCUCCCGUCAUGGAGAAGGUCAUCAGUAUUUGUAUCUAUAGUUCCUGGGAGUUUUGUGGAAUGUCAGUGUAUUAAUCUAUCUGAAGCUAAUUUAAAUAACGUCAUUAUCAUAAUUAAAAGUCAAAACCUUUACGUGAGGUUAAAUCAGAGAGAUCUCUUUCCUGGCUUGGCUGAAAAUACUAAGCCACAAAUGUUUCCUCUACACACCCCAUCUCCUUCUGCCAGUAACUCUUAAUUACUAAUGCACAUUGUUAGCUCCCCUCCACUUCAAAAAAUUUAAGUGCUUCUUGUGUAGGCAAUUUCAAAGAGAUCCAGAAGAAUCUAAUUAUGCUGAAAAUUUAAAUCCACCAUAUUUUCAGUGUCUUCCAAGUAUUUGGCAGAGGGUUAUCUACCAUUGCUGAUAUAAAUCAACUCUAAAAUAUUAUCCUGUUUCGCUUUAUUCUAAGUUUUGUAAUAAAAUGAAAUGCAGGUGUGUCUGGGGAAUUACAAAUGUGACCUUUUAAACAGUACUAUGUUGCACCCAAUUCUACAGUGAUAUUUUGAAAUAUGUGAUUAUCGAUUUGCUACUUUUUAUAUUUCUAAUAACUUUAACAUCUCCUAAAUGCCCUGCACUUACCAAUCAGUAAAGCACUAGCCAAAUGAAUCAGAUAGCAAUAAUUAGCCUAGUGCACACGUUUUCUGAGUAAUAGAAGGGAUUCAGGAUAAAAUAAACCUGUAUAGUAUGUUUUCUAUACUUUGCUAAAUGAUCAGAGAGAUUUCUACCCUAUGUUUGCUAACCUUCUUAUUGUAGGCAGAAUUCUGGUAUUAAAGAGCAGCAUUCUAAAAACUCAAGAUAAUUGGGCACUCUCAAUUCAGAGGUUUUUGCAAAUCCAUGAAUAAUUGCACAUAGUUAUGUGUGUAUAUACCAAAAGUCUUAAGACUCACUUACCUCCUGUGGGUUUAGUACUCGAGAUACAAGAAAUGAAAACGAGGGAAAUGAUUUAUCACUGAGAUUCCCAUAUUUAUGAAAGAUAUGUAUACCAAAUUGAUACUCCAGUAAGUGGCCUAUCUUUAAAAAAUAAAAUUAAAAAUGGAUUAUCCAUUGAUUGUGAUAAUUUCCAAGAAUUUUGUGAAGGAAAGGCUGAUUGACUAUGGGCAGUUAUUAAGUAAAAGAAAAAGAUAUAUUGAUAUUUAUGGUAACUAAUAGUAUCAUUAAAAUUCAAUACGAAAUGGAGACCAGACUUGAGAAUUUUCUGAGCAGACAAAACCGUUUAAGCCACAUAAACAAAACUACAUUUAGCUUAUUUCAUGAACAUAAGCAAAAUUUAACGUAGGUUAUUUCUUGUAAAUGCCUCUUAUAACCAUAAAAGAAACUUAUGUCAUUUUCCUAAAAUGAUACAAGAUAAUCACUUUUAACCAAUACCCUGCAGUCUGGAAACUCCCACUGUAAUAACUCACUAUGGUAAAGGUUAAACAACUUCCUCAUUUUCACUUUAUAAGCCGUUCUGUAACGUCACACCUCUGAACUUCAUAUCAUUUUGGGAUUUGAAAGCUUGCAGUUGGUGAACUGUUCUUAUUUGCACAGUAAACUCUUACUAAAUACUGUUUUACUGGCCUGGUUUUCUUUUUUACUGUUUCUGGAUUUUUGAAAGUCUUACUGGAUCUUUCCAGACUCUUAAAAAAACUCAUUCUCAAUAUAUCUCCUCUAUAUUUUCUGCUUUUAAAUUUUUUUACUAAUGUCUUCUAUUGCUAUGGUACGUUUGUCAUAACUAAGGAGCUAAUAUUGAUAUUAUUAUUAAACUCAAGUCCAUACUUUAUUUGGGUUUCCUUAGUUUUUACCUAACGUCUUCUUUCUGCUCCAGGAUGCCAUCCAGAGACACCGUAGGAGAUUUAGUCACCAUGUCUUUCUUCUUAGUCUCUUCUAGCUCAGUUCUCAGACUUUCCUUGUUUGUUGAUAACCUUGAAAGUUUGAGGAGUACUGGUCAGCUAUUUUGUAGAAUUCCUUUUAAUUUUUUUUUCCCUGAUGCUUUUCUCAUGAUUACACUCAGGUUGUAGUUUUUUGGAACUGCCAUUCCCAUCACUUCAAAUCAAGAGUACACUCUAUUAACAUGUCAUUAAUGGUGUUAAUCUUGGUGACUGGGUUUUCCAGGUUUCUCUACUAUAACUCUUCUCUUUUCCCCCCUUUUCCACACUGUACUCGUUGGAAGGAAGUCACUAUGCACAGCCCACACUUAAGUGGUGGGUUCUUAUGCCACAACUCCUCGAGAGGAUGCCUUCUUUAAUGACUGUUCAAGUUUCCUGUGUUUGGAGAGUUAUGCCAGAUCACUAAGAAUGCUCUGUCUUGAAAGCUGCUAAAUGGCUGACAUUUUGGGUCUCUAAGCAAAAUGUUAUUUUAAAAAAGUCCUUGAUCAGGAAUUAAUUCACUGAAUUCUUCCAAAAAGCUUUCCUGACUUAAGUGUCUGUAGCAUUAAAAAGGGAAAAAAAUGACAACAAAAUCCUUCAUACUUUAUCUUGACUUCUUUUGUAUAGUUCUUAGACCCAUGAUGGAUUAGAGACAGAAAGAAGGAAAUUUGCUUUCUGGUCCACUUACGCUUACCCAUAAUAUUGUAAAUCUAACUUGCAGAAUUCACAGCAUAAACUCACCUGAUAAAUGAUGCUGUGGACCAUGGGGCUCACUAACCUUUUCUUUUGACUUAAACUCUUACAACUUAUUUUUUCCUCUUUCUCAUUGCAGGCACUUCAU